UUUUAUGAUGAUUCCUUUUUUAUCACGACGGUCAACUUAUUGUAAUACACGUUUAGUAUUACCAACUUGAUGAUAAUUGCCUGUGACAGGGCUGUUUAGACUGAUA